GCUCGAAAGUGUGGGUAUCAAACAGGAUUAGAUACCCUGGUAGUCCACACGGUAAACGAUGAAUACUCGCUGUUUGCGAUAUACUGCAAGCGGCCAAGCGAAAGCGUUAAGUAUUCCACCUGGGGAGUACGCCGGCAACGGUGAAACUCAAAGGAAUUGACGGGGGCCCGCACAAGCGGAGGAACAUGUGGUUUAAUUCGAUGAUACGCGAGGAACCUUACCCGGGCUUAAAUUGCAGAUGAAUUACGGUGAAAGCCGUAAGCCGCAAGGCAUCUGUGAAGGUGCUGCAUGGUUGUCGUCAGCUCGUGCCGUGAGGUGUCGGCUUAAGUGCCAUAACGAGCGCAACCCUUGUUGUCAGUUACUAACAGGUUCCGCUGAGGACUCUGACAAGACUGCCAUCGUAAGAUGUGAGGAAGGUGGGGAUGACGUCAAAUCAGCACGGCCCUUACGUCCGGGGCUACACACGUGUUACAAUGGGGGGUACAGAGGGCCGCUACCACGCGAGUGGAUGCCAAUCCCCAAAACCUCUCUCAGUUCGGACUGGAGUCUGCAACCCGACUCCACGAAGCUGGAUUCGCUAGUAAUCGCGCAUCAGCCAUGGCGCGGUGAAUACGUUCCCGGGCCUUGUACACACCGCCCGUCAAGCCAUGGGAGCCGGGGGUACCUGAAGUGCGUAACCGCGAGGAGCGCCCUAGGGUAAAACUGGUGACUGGGGCUAAGUCGUAACAAGGUAGCCGUACCGGAAGGUGCGGCUGGAACACCUCCUUUCUGGAG
rnacentral:rRNA from 1 species